AGAUCAGCUUUGGGUUUGUCCAUAAGGAUUGAGACUGGAAAUUUCAAUUAGAUCAGACUUUUAAAGCUGAUGUGAGGACUGAUUCCAUAGUGUUGGAAGUAAGAACUGGUGAUUUGAUACUGCUAACAUAUUGGUUAGCAUUACAGCAUUGUCCUUUUGAAUACUGGCUGGAGUAAAAUUUGGAUCCUUUUUGAGGUGCCCUUGUGUGGUCAUUCCAAUGGACAAUAACAAUCAUGCAGAUAAGAUAUAUAUUGCUUUUUUGUUUAAUAAAAUCUUUAAAUGAUAAUUCUGAGAUCCAAAUGAUUUUUUUUUUUAUGCUGUUAUUUUUUCCAUUUACUGUAAAUUAACAAAUUUGUGUUAGGAAUACUGUUAUUCCUUUGACUCAAAUGUAGUAUACAGAUAUUUAGUUCUGGCUUUUGAUAUGUAUUCCUUUGCAAAUAAAAAAACUUGUAUUAUAGUUAUAAAAAUAGUUAA